ensembl:lncRNA
AUCAGACACAUGGGAGUAGAAAAGAUGUAGAAGCUCAGUUUGUCUAUGCCGUGUUUCCAAAAGCUGGGAUAUUCCAUCCGUGCAAGUUACCGGGGGCAUCACAUAGGAUUAACAGCAGAAGGAACCUAGUCCUCAAAGUUAAUGAAAAUGCUGUUGGUGAAGGUCAGGAAGGCACGUUCAGAACUACAGCGUGGCCUCUGUAAAUAAAGUGCUGGCACACAGCGCACUUACUGUGCCACUCCUCAUCCCUGCAGACCAAUUGUCUCUGAUGAAGACUUACUUUAAUUGUUCCAUGACUGCUGACGUGUUUAAUUAAAGACUCACAUGGCUACAUCUUUGGUGAGAAAAUGUGAGGCGAUCACAAACACGAAUAAGGUAAGAAAUCACAAAGGCACGCUCAGAAGCAAAACAUUGAAGUGCUCUCUAGUGCAGCAUUUCAGCAGAACACUGGUGUGUGAGUUUCUGCCUGACAUUAAAGUUCAGUCCAGUAUUUCUGAGGGAGAAAAGACCAGCACUGACAGAGUAAGUCAUCUGGCCAUAGGAAGCUGUGUUGACAAAAAUUCAUACAGUAGAAAUUGGAAACCCAUGCUCCAAAGUUUUCUUCUAUUAACAGUUUAAUGUCCAACUCUGCAAUAUAUGAUUUAUGGGAAUUCUCUAAUACAACCCAGCCUUGCAUAUUUUGCCAUUUAUUAUUCUUAUUUAGCAAAUGGCAAAGACCAAACUAUCUGAUUCCUGAAGCCAUUUUUUUAACCAUUUUUAAUAUGUACCUCUCAUUGUAAUUGUCUAUAGAUUCCACUUUUUGCAGAUCCCUCUUUUCAGUCCUCACUGACGGGCCAGUUUGGGCUUGCUUAUUUUUGCAGUUUUGUGGGGUGUUUUGGAGAUGGUAAAAUUUAGGGGAAUUAGAUGUUUGCACGUGGAAUUGAGGCAGUUGAGCAGAAACAUGGAUAGAAUUCUGUUGUUGCUUCAUUGGUUUUUAUGAAAGUGUCUUCUACAUACAGCUCUGGAUUGACUCCUGACCUCACCCUUUGGGAUUUAAUCGAGGCAAAGGCAUCCAUAAAUCCAUACUCGCAAUGUUUUGUUUUCUAUAGACUCGUCUAUACUUCGUGUUUUAAAAGUAGAUUUCUUUGUUGCUUAUGGUCCCUCUGUGACUACAAUAGCACCUAAGCAUCUUGGUGUAAUAGCGUUGUGUAUUGAAACCCUUUUGUUUCGGAAAUGGAUUGUGUGGAAAAGCGUCCUGUAAAACCUCUUGGUAAGUCCCAUUUUGUUAUUUAAUAUCUGCUACUCGUUACGAGUGCCCAUUCCCCUGGGAGCCUUGGAGAAGUUAGAUGCCAAAGGCUGCGUGUUUGAAACUGGUCCUACAGUAGAGCAAGUAAAUAUUAUCAAUAUACUUUAUUUGGGAAGGAUUCCUUGGCCAAAGAAGGGCUUUAAAAACUAGAAAGAGAGAGUCUGCAGAGUAUGAAGAUAUUGAUGAAGACGAUAAGCAGUGUGUUACAGAUUGGGUAUCCACACAGAUGAAAGGAGAAGGAGCAGUGAGUGAGCCCCAUGGUGGCUGCUGCGGUAAAGGUGACCGUAUCAUAGAAUGAUCAUAGAAUGAUCAUAGGAUGGCCUGGGUUGAAAAGGACCAUAAUGAUCAUUGAGUUUCAACCCCUCUGCUAUGGACAGGGUUGCCAGCCACCAGACCAGGCUGCCCAGAGCCACAUCCAGCCUGGCCUUGAAUGCCUCCAGGCAUCCUUUGGAGCCUCUGCAUCAGAUGGGAACGCAGAUAUCCACAGCCUGGGGAACAGCAGGAGAGGGGCUCCGCAGAGAUGGAGCUGGGGGAAAUCAAACCCAGAAAUGGGGAAACUGAAAUCUGUCUGACAGGGAGAAGGAAAUGAAUAAUCAGCACACGGAGACCGAAAGACGGACUUUUAAAAAGUUAUUUCAAGAUGCAAAUGCUUCCUCUAUUGUUUCCUAUUUGCAUUUUAAAGUACUUCAGUAUCAGAGUUGAGGCAUCUAGAGAGGACAAACCUGCCUCGGGUCAGCUCAGAGGUGACGCAGAAGAGUAUUCAAAACAUGUUUGUCAAAAAGAUCGUUCGAUACGAUAUGGAUCGGUGGAGAUAACUGUGUUUGGAGGAGAAAUACAAAGCUGCUCAAUAAAGGGGAGGCUGUAAAGAUACAUCUGAAGGCUGGCAUGUAGAAAGUGCUUUCAGGCAGGAGUCUCACUGGGAAUAAUACUUUAAGAAAUCUUCCUCAGAAUGUGAAAUCUGCCUCCCCAGCAGCAUGGAAGGCACAGCGUGGGGAAACGGGAGCCAUUUCACCACAAUCUACUGAAGUAUUUUAAUGGACUAUCUGAUAACGGAGUUAUUGACAGCAGAUAUGGCAAAAUGACAGGACUGCAGCCAGCAGAGCCACAUGAAGCAUCUGAUAUCUGAAUUGAAGGACAAAAUUUUUCUAGAAAAUCUGAAGAAUAAUCAUUUUAUCCAUCCAUCCAUCCAUCCUUUCUGCAUAGGUACCUAAGGUUAAAACACACUUCUGCUAAGAUAUCUCCACGAUGAGAACAAGGUACAGGUGCCAACUGGCAGCUCAGUGUCAUGAAGGAUACGUGAGCUCACGAGGACACCUCCCACACAUUUGGAGAAAGAAGCAGAAGAAAGAGGCUGGGUGCUGGCCUACAACAAAGCAGUGUAUUCUCAAUUCCAAAUAAACCCAUUUCAGGAAGUGGUCAUUAUAAAUUAAAUUCCUCUAAACAUCUCUGCUUUGAAGAGCUGUUCACUGCAUAACUAAAACUGCUCCUACAGAAUGAUGUUGUCCUGGAAUGCUGCGUAUUCUGAUCCCCACUCCUGCCACCAUGGCUGACAACAGAACAGCUCUUUCAGUAUAUAUGGAGAAAAUACUCUACUGAACCCUUCCCAGACCGUGUUGUCAGGACUUAAAACACUCUGAACAAAUCAAAAUACUUAUUUAAAAAUUAAAUUAAUUCCCACUUGUAAUACAGCCAUCCACUCCUAAUGACAGGCCUGAUCUCGGCAGGAAUAAUUCACCAGGAGAGAAGCAGGGCAACAUAGCCCAUUUCCAAGCACUGAGCUGAGGCCAUGGCUCACGGCAGUGCAGUCACUCCUGGCUCCCAUUGCCAACAGCCAAAGGGAGGCUGAGUUGGAAGGGAUUUCUGACCUUAAAGUUGGCUGAAGAGCUCCUCCUUCCCUUCCCUCCUGUGUGGAUGGAAGCAAGGAUGACUGGGAUUGUAAUUAAGCACACCUGCACAAAGAAAGCAUAGAAUGGAGAUUUAUAUUGGAGAAAUUUUCCUCUCAAACCUUCUGGCCUGGGUUGAGCCUGCAGACCAUUAGGCACCUAAAAGCUCAGGUUGGAUGCAUAUGGGACAAAAAGUUCA